rnacentral:tRNA from 2 species
GCCGCCGUAGUCAAAUUGGUGGGCACGCUGUAGGAGGCAGUGCUAAAGGCACCUCGGUUCAAAUCCGAACGACGGCA